rnacentral:rRNA from 1 species
GCCCAGACUCCUACGGGAGGCAGCAGUGAGGAAUAUUGGUCAAUGGGCGGGGGCCUGAACCAGCCAAGUCGCGUGAGGGACGACGGUCCUAUGGAUUGUAAACCUCUUUUGUCGGGGAACAAAGGCGUCCACGGGUGGGCGGAUGAGUGUACCCGAAGAAAAAGCAUCGGCUAACUCCGUGCCAGCAGCCGCGGUAAUACGGAGGAUGCGAGCGUUAUCCGGAUUUAUUGGGUUUAAAGGGUGCGCAGGCGGGCUGUUAAGCCGGCGGUAAAAAUUCAGGGCUCAACCCUGUCGAGCCGUCGGAACUGGCAGUCUUGAGUGGGCGAGAAGUAUGCGGAAUGCGUGGUGUAGCGGUGAAAUGCAUAGAUAUCACGCAGAACGCCGAUUGCGAAGGCAGCAUACCGGCGCCCAACUGACGCUGAGGCACGAAAGCGUGGGGAUCGAACAGGAUUAGAUACCCUAGUA